rnacentral:rRNA from 1 species
GCCUACGGGGGGCAGCAGUAGGGAAUUUUCGUCAAAGGGCGCAAGCCUGAACGAGCAAUGCCGCGUGAACGAGGAAGGUCUUCGGAUCGUAAAGUUCUGUUGAAGGGGAAAAAGAGCGGAGAGAGGAAAUGGUCUCCGAUUGAUAUUACCCUUCGAGGAAGUCACGGCUAACUACGUGCCAGCAGCCGCGGUAAUACGUAGGUGGCGAGCGUUAUCCGGAAUGAUUGAGCGUAAAGGGUGCGUAGGCGGCCUGCUAAGUCUGGAGUGAAAGGUACCGGCUCAACCGGUACAGGCUCUGGAAACUG